rnacentral:tRNA from 1 species
UGUAGCUCAGUUGGUAGAGUGCCUGCCUAGCAAACAUGAAUCCCUGGGUUCUAUCCCCGGCA